GACGAACGCUGGCGGCGUGCUUAACACAUGCAAGUCGAGCGGUAAGGCCCUUUCGGGGGUACACGAGCGGCGAACGGGUGAGUAACACGUGGGUGACCUGCCCUCAGCUCUGGGAUAAGCCUGGGAAACCGGGUCUAAUACUGGAUAUGACUCCAUGACGCAUGUUGUGGGGUGGAAAGCCUUGUGCGGCUGAGGAUGGGCCCGCGGCCUAUCAGCUUGUUGGUGGGGUGANGGCCUACCAAGGCGACGACGGGUAGCCGGCCUGAGAGGGCGACCGGCCACACUGUGACUGAGACACGGCCCAGACUCCUACGGGAGGCAGCAGUGGGGAAUCUUGCGCAAUGGGCGAAAGCCUGACGCAGCGACGCCGCGUGAGGGAUGACGGCCU
rnacentral:rRNA from 1 species